rnacentral:lncRNA from 1 species
CUCGUCAGUUACGAAGCUGGACUGAAACUGCCCUGUCAUUCAAUGCUGGAAGCUUCUGCGCGCGCGCGCGCCCAUGCGCGGUGCGCCAUGCGGCGUGCGGCCUCUUGGCUCACUGUCGUGCGGCGUGCGGCCUCUUGGCUCACUGCCGUGCGGCGUGCGGCCUCUUGGCUCACUGCCAUGCGGCGGUGCGGCCUCUUGGCUCACUGCCGUGCGCGGUGCGGCGGUGCGGCUCAAGUCCGUCCAUGCGGCGUGCGGCGGUGCAGCUCAAGUCCGUCCAUGCGGCGUGCGGCGGUGCAGCUCAAGUCCGUCCAUGCGGCGGUGCGGCGUGCGCCACGUCACCUUGUGAGUCUAUACAUGCGCGCCACACAGUCGCGCCGUAUUGGCUCACUCUGGUGCGCCGCGCACGGCACAGCAGAACCCAUGCACCAUGCGCCCAACCGCGCGCCUCGUGUACCCGCGCGCGCAUGCGCAUGACUGCCACGUCAUGCGCCGCAUCACCUACCACUUGGUCCUUGCAACCCUUGUGCUUCACCACGCGCGCGCGGUCAAAAAUACAAAGGCGGCUCUCGGCGAUGCGAGCGUGCGAAGUGCAAAGUGCGCCAUCAAAGCGCCACAUUGCGCCUCAUCGCCCACGCCACGCGCGCGCGCGCGAGCGAGCGUGUGCGAGUGCGAGUGCGAGUGCGAGUUAGGGUGCUCCGCACCCUUCGCGAGGACACUAGAG